rnacentral:rRNA from 1 species
UACGAGGGGGGCAAGCGUUGUUCGGAAUUAUUGGGCGUAAAGGGCGCGUAGGCGGUUUGACAAGUCUGAUGUGAAAUCUAUGGGCUCAACCCAUAGCCUGCAUUAGAAACUGUCGGGCUUGAGUAUGGGAGAGGUGAGUGGAAUUUCCGGUGUAGCGGUGAAAUGCGUAGAUAUCUGGAGGAACACCGGUGGCGAAGGCGGCAUCCUGGACCGGCAUUGACGCUGAGGCGCGAAAGCCAGGGGAGCAAACGGG